rnacentral:tRNA from 1 species
GGAGGUGUAGAGCUCAGGUAGUAGAGCGCAUGUUUAGCAUGCAUGAGGCCUUGGAUUCAAUCCCCAGUACCUCCU